CAAUAGGUUAAUUGUGCACGUUCUUGGAUGAGUCAGCCUGUAAUUGCUGAUACCAAUAUGUUCGGCGUUGCUGCCUCAGGGGCUUGGUGUGUGAGUCAGAUGAUGGAAAUGAGGAUAAAGUUGGCCUUGUUUCCUGAAAUCUUAGAAACCGAAUAAUAAGUUUUUGAACUUGGUAUGUGAUCAAAAUCACUUUGGGAGAAAGAUGAAAAGACAGAAUGAAAAACUUCCUCAGAAUGCACCUUAGAAAGCCAAGGAAGUCCUUAAGACUGUAUGUAAUUGCAUAGGUCAAUGGUUGCAGAAAAGAUGGAGUCUCACUCUUUUCACCCAGGCUGGAGUACAGCGGUGAGAUCUCAGCUCACUGCAAUCUCCACCUCCCAGAUUCAAGUGCUUCUCGGGCCUCAGCCUCCUUAGUAGAUUGGAUUACAGGCAUGCACCACCACACUCAGCUAAUUUUUGUGUUUUUAGUGGAGACAAGGUUUCACCAUGUUGGCCAGGCUGGUCUCGAACUCCCGACCUCAGGUGAUCUGCCUACUUCUGCCUCCCAAAGUGUUGGGAUUACAGGAGUGAGCCACUGCACCUGGGCUAAUUUUAAUUACCUCUGUUCUUAAAUGGAUUUACUUAAAUUCAGAGAAUAUCCACAGUUCUUUCAUACUGAAACUUACGCAGAAAAAAAAAUAACAGGAUGUGAAAUGGGUAAGACAAAGAAAUAAUCUCUCAAGCUCUUCGUACAAAGUUUGAUUAAGAGAGAGUGUCUGCAACUCUCUGCUUUGCUCCCAGCUGGGUCUGCUGUUCUAGUGAGCGCCAGCAGUUAUUCUCGUUUUCUGCAGUAUUCCCAGGCUGCCAAAAGGCUCUGCUCUGUAAGCUGAGAAAGACUCAACAGCUACAACACUGGUGUUCACAGCAGCAAGGUUUAUUUCCUCACAAGAUGAUAUUCCUGGGUUUGCAUACGUUUGCUCUUUUCAGUGAACCAUGUCCUCUAAAUGUCACCUUGCUUCCAUUCAGCACGGUCUGUGUUCCGACUGUCCAGGGGCUUCCAGGAACAGCCCACAGAUUGAUGGCUUGCUGAAAGCUCCCUCGUUAUCUUUCACUGUAAAUUCCUUUCAUCAGUAAUCUCUUGUGCCCUGGAUGCAGCACUUCUUUGUACGCGUGCUGUGAAAUAAAAUCUCAGAUAAUGUGUGUGCUAAUUUUCUUUCUUCCCUCCCUACCCCCAUUAUCCCCACAAUGUGACCUCAGAGCUAAUUGUUUGUUUGAUUGUGAAGAACUAGUUUGGACCCUGGCACGGGUUUCAUGAUUUAUGAUAGAACUCAAGAGAUCUUGGUCUGUGAAGAAAAAAAUGUCCUCUGUUAACUCACAAAAGGGGCUGUCUUGGCCCAUAUACUCCUUUUAGUUUAAAAAGCACAGGAAGAAUAGGAAAUAGAGAAUUCUUACCACAUACUUACAGAGGGAUAGGUAAUGUUAUGUUUUUCUGUUAGGAAGAAGAGACUUGGUUAUCUAGCAAGCUCACAGUCACUGUUGGGAGCCAGCUAGGGCUGCUUUUAAAAUACACUUGGGAUGUUGGGAACUGGAGGACCCUAAAGGUAGCAAGGAUGCAACUAUUUUAAUAUUUUGGCUUCAAACCUUGGACUUGUGUGGAAGUUUGUGAAGUAUAAUUAGCUAUUCUAAACACAAACAUUUCACUUUAUAUUUUUCCUUUUUCAUAUCAGGGCAUGCAGGUAAAAGCAGAAUUCAGGAACCAGGAAAACAAGAAGUGCUGUAAUGUAAUACAACCCUCUAUUCUGUUAUGACUCAGCAGAAUCACAAGAUUUGAGCUCUGGAGGUGUUUUCUGUCCAUCAAACAAACGAAGCCCACUCCACCAAGAAUAACUGGCUCUAUACCUUGUUUUUCUAACAACCUAAGCUACGUUGUUUCCAGUUCUGGCCCUGGAUUAUUGGACUCAUUGAGUGACAUUUGGCAAGUCACUAAACAUCUCUGGACUCCAGUUUACCCGUCCAAACCUCAGGGGUCACGUGAGUGAGAUCCCUUUCAAGACCCCUUUCUAUUAGGUUACUGCAAAAGUAGUUGCAGUGUUUGCUAUUAAAAGUAACGUCAAAACCACAAUUACUUUUGCACCAACCUAUAUUUCUAGCAUCUAGCAUCCAUACCUCACUAUUUAUGGCAAAUUUAUUCCUAUAUUGAAUUCCUACAAUGCAAUGCACAACUCCCAAAUGUUACAUCUUUUGAGCCCUCUAAAUUACUUUAAAAUAGACAUGCUGAAGGUGACAGCCCUGUAGAUAAAAAUGUUAAAUACUCCAAGUCAGGUUGAACAAUUCCUGAAAACUCAUGUUCUUUGUAAUUUUUCCUUUUGGCUUUAAUUUUCUGGGUAAAGGAAAAAUGCCAACCUUUCCCUCCUCUAAACUCUCACAGCACUUUAUUUUUGUCUGUCUUAGAACAUUGAUUGCUUAAAAACUUAUUUGCACCUACACACCUUAAGUGUUUCCGUUAUGAAGCUGUGGUUGAAUCAACCAUCUCCUCAGUGUAUUCUUUCAAACUCAGUGUAUUCUUUUGCAGGGGCUGCCAGAACAAAGUACCAAUGGGUGGCUUAAACAACAGACAUUUAUUUUCUUGCAGUUCUGGAUUGCUAGAAAUCUGAGAUUAAAGUGUUAGCAGGAUUGAUUUCUUUUGAGGCCUUUGUCCUUGGCUUAUAGAUGGCCAACUUCUGCUGUGUCCUCAUUUGAUUUUCCUUUUGUAUGUCAAUGUCCUAUUCUCCUCUUUUCAUGACACCAGUCAUAUUGGAUAGGCCCAUCGUAAUGACCUCAUUUUAACUUAAUCCCUUUGUUAAAGGACCCAUCUCCAAAUAUAAUCACAUUUUGAGAUACUGGAGUUAGGAUGACAACAUAUGACUUUUCAGGGGACACAAUUCAGUCUAUAAGAUUCAGGAAGCACAAGUCUCCAAUUCCCAACUUGAUCUUGUUUCUGUGCACCACAGUGCUUACUGCUCACCCUCCAUUCCUGAGAAGUUGCAUCUGUACUCAGCUGAUUUAUAGGUAAGGUGGGAUUCAAAAGUGAUAUUAGUAAUACAAGAAAUAGAAGCUAAUCUUUGCAGUUUAGUCAGUACUUAUGCCUAUCUACCAAGAUGUGCUUCACUCCAACUUUAUAGACUUUCUAAACUUUAUGGACUUUACUCUAACUUUAUAUAGACUUCCACUCAAUCUUUAUGGAACUUUGAGGCUCUAACCUAAAAUACAGAUAGUGUGUUUUUGAUGAGCAAAAUCAUUCUUGGCCUUAUGGCAACAUUUUGCUCUGAAUAGGAUUCUGUUGGUUUGAAACACAGCAUUUCACUUGCUCUUUUGGAAGUAUAUUCCAUAUUGUUUACCUGAUGCUCAGAGGUAAAUGUAUAAAAUGUAUAAAAAUGCUUGACCCUUCUCAUACCUGGAGAAAGCCAUGAUCCAUUCAACAUGGUAUUUAAUUUCUGAUAACUAUGACAAAAGAAGGCAGAAAAUAUUGCCUUAACAGCUGUGUUUCCCUGAACAACCCAUUAUAGCUCUCCCAUCUAAGGUUCUUUAAAUCAUUUUGGAGUCUCUUAGAGAAUUUUAAGCCCAAGGAAACUGUUAAGAAAAAGGCUUCCAUAUUUUGAGUUAAAGGUAUUAUUUCAAUGGCAUUCGGGAAACAGCAAAUGAGUUUAGUGUGUUCAUGUUUCAACUUAGGUCCUACUCUUGGAGCUAGAAGAUCAGAGCUUAAGUCACAGGUAGGCUCAGACCUUGGGAAAUUAACUCCACCACUUCUGAGUCUUAAUUCUUGAAGUCAGCAAUUAGUGUAAUGAUUUUCUGCCAUUCUUAACUCUUGGAUAGUGUGAAAUACAAACUGACAGAAUUUGUUAUUUUUAAUAAGUUUAAGAGCGGGCUGGUCAGCUGCUGUCAUCUAGGCUUGCUCAUGGGUCUAUGGUCAGCUGUGAAAGGUCUAGGAUGAUCUCAGGUGGACAACUCAGCUCUGUUCCUUGUGUGAUCUUGUGUUCCAACAGGCUAGUUUCCUCAAAGACACAGGAACAAGAAGGAGAGAAUAGAAUCAAGGUAUUUGGAGGCCUUGGCUCAGAACUAGUGCCCUAUCACUUCUUCCUCAUUGCAUUGGGCAAAACAUGUGACAAGCCAGCCCAGAUUCUCCAGCCAGCGUUAUGUUGAAAUCUCAACUCCAACCCUAAGCCUACCUCUUCCUGGUCAUGAUCACUUCUGCUGGUUGUAGCCUUUAUCACUACUGCCUACCAAAAUUCAAAUUCAAAUAUGGGCCCUCCCCUUCUGCUAUGUCACUUUCCAUCUCUUCUUCUUCUGUUAUCUCUACAGCCACUUGCUUCCCUACCACUGUCCCUGUCUUGGAGGAAUAGGAAGAGAAGACUCCAUUCUUGACUAGAGAAGCUUCAAAAUCAUUUGAAACUGAGUGUUGACACAAGGCAAAAUCAGAUUGGGGCCAUUUUGCAAACCAUCUACUAUCACAAAAAUAACUGAAAAAUUAGGCCAUUGUUCCCAUACAAUUUGUGACCACUGUCUUUCUUAGAAUCUCCAUGUACACAGUAAAACAUUUUCCCAUGAUUUGAUUCUAGUUUCUUGCCCUUUUUAGACGUGGAAACCACGCAGAUAAGCUUCUUACUCUGUAAGGUUACUAUUUGGUGUUUUCUAUCACUUCUAAUUGAAAAGAUACUGCAUUUUUAAAAGUAUAAAAUUUGGGAUGACUCAGGGGAAAUUUUAAGAGUUCCAUUAGAAACCACAUGUGGCAUACUUCACAGUUGCAAUAUAAACACAAUGAAAAGUGUACACUUUAUUCUUUCCCUUCUUGAGAAGGCCAUUAUUAUUUCCAUUUCAUUGUUUUCAAAAUAAUUGAAAAUGGUCAAUUUUAUGUUCCUCUAUGGUAAACAUAUUGAGUGGAAAAUUUCAAAUUUAGCUAUUUCUCCUACUUGAGAACAUGAUUUGCAUUGUAAGUCAUUUGCAAUAAAUGAACUGCUUGGACUAUUAAACUGGAGGAUCUCAGAAUAUAUAUAUUUGUCAGCUAUGAUUUAAAUCCCAC
rnacentral:lncRNA from 10 species